rnacentral:rRNA from 1 species
UACGUAGGGGGCUAGCGUUGUCCGGAAUCAUUGGGCGUAAAGCGCGCGUAGGCGGCCCGGUAAGUCCGCUGUGAAAGUCAAAGGCUCAACCUUUGAAUGUCAGCGGAUACUGCCGGGCUAGAGUCCGGAAGAGGCGAGUGGAACUCCUGGUGUAGCGGUGGAAUGCGCAGAUAUCAGGAAGAACACCAACGGCGAAGGCAGCUCGCUGGGACGUGACUGACGCUGAGACGCGAAAGCGUGGGGAGCAAACAGG